GUAGAGCCUGAAAGUAAAGAAUACAACAGUACAGUGUACGUGCAUAAAGGAGCAUUGCAAAAUUAAUUCAGUACAGCGGGUUUACACUAGGUAUUAAGUACUUAGCAGUGAAAGGGUUAAGUAAAUAAAAUGUUGACUGUAGUUUCGUUAUGUGGAGAUUAAACCCUCUUAUGGAAAAUUCGCGUUUCAUUUUCAUGUGAUAUUUAUUAGCAAUAUGUCCAUUGUUUAGCUUUUAAUCCUAUAUUACAAGGGACACUGAAAUUAUCCACCAAAGACAAAAUUCGGUAAUAAUUUUCGUUGUAUUUCUCUUUUUUAUUGUAUUACUGUUAUUAUUACAUGAAGCAUUUGAGGCACUGGAUACAGCCAUAUAAAAACUUACCUGUCAUCUGGUCACACAAUCCUCAAGAGCUUCACAACAUUCGUCACUACCUUAAUGGCAUACAUUCUAAAAUCCUCUGGUAGCAUUCAGUGACGGAUCAACCUUUGUAUACGAAUCCCACACAGGAAAUUUACGCUGCCUUCUGCAAUAGAUACUGGGAACGACUCGUUCUUCAAGUGCCUGAGCACUGCGGAUCCCAACUUUACGUUGGCUCGAUCUAUAGACAUUCGGUAGGACUCCUUGGACGAGGCAUUGGCCUAUCGCAAGGCCUCUACCUGUACUCAGGACAACGCGGACAAACAUUCAUGGCUUGAGUGGGAUUCGAACCCACGGUCCCAGUGACCAAGUGGCACGAAGAACACGCCUCAGAUCGCGCGGCCACUGCGGACCCCUCUACAAUACGCAACUCUUUGUUAUUUCUGAUAAUUAUAACAACAUGAGUACAUCCAAUACGGACAUUUACUAUAAUCUUUGUUAUUUUAUUACAUUAUCUUGCAUUACUUUAAAUUAUACAUAGACACAGAUGUUGUGUGCAUCUUUCUGAGAAAUUAUACAGAGUGUCCCAUAAAAAUGUAUAAACAAUGUUGACAUAAAAUGGAUGUGUACGUACACAUUUUUGGAACACCUGUAUAUUCUUAAUUUGCGAUCAUGCCAUUUCUGAAACUGGAUGGGAUACAACAGGAAAAGUCUGCUAGUACUUCAUGAAACUUUCAAAUAGGUUCUUGGUUCAUGCCUUCUCUAGAGCAUGCAAAGCAUUUGAUGAAAGUUACUAAUUUCACAAUGAAAUGAUUGAUGCGUGGUGAUCGAAAAGUGAUGUGAUCCAUUCCUGACAAAUGUCCUGUUUUUCAAAAAAUAAAUUACACUGAAAUAAAAAAAAAAUGAAGUUAUAUCAAAUGCUGGAAAUGUCCACUGUGUUCAGCGAUGAAUGCAUUCACUCUUUUCCUCAAGUCUGAUGCAACCCAGCAAAGGGUCUUUGUAGUGAUGCUCAAAAUCCAGAACACUCUAUAUACAAAUGUUCAGGAUAAAAACACAUCGACUUACGUGGAGGCAUGCUUCGUCACUGCAAAAAACUUCAUCUUAAAUGUCUAUGUCUGUGUUAUAUUCUUUACUGACGUGUAAUUUAAGUAACUCAAUGCAUAUUCUGAUAUUACUUGUUAUCUGGUCAUCGACAAAUAGUAAAAACAUUAGCGACAUUUUACUUUCAUAAUAGUUAGAUGAUACAAAGCGCGGCUCUUUAUGGAGCAGAAAUUCGGCAAUUCUCGGAACAAAAAAAAAAGUUGAGAAUAGUGGAAAUGGAUUUCCUAAGAAGAGCGGCUGGAAUAUCUAGAAGAGAGAGAGUGAGAAAUGAAAGGAUUAGAAAAAUCAUGAGGAUGGAUCGAGAUAUAAUUGAGGAGAUAGAGAGAAGACAACUGAUUUGGUACGGACACGUGCAGAGGAUGGAGGAGGAAAGGUUACCAAA